rnacentral:lncRNA from 1 species
AUGAUCUCAGAGGGAGCACACCUGCCCACUGGCCGUGCCACGAUGAUGGGCCCUAUUUCCAACAGGCCUAGGCCCACCUCUGCUCCCUGAACACCUGGAAAUCCAGUGCCAAAGUCUUCAUAUAAAAAAUACAAAACAGCUCAUUUAUGUUUUGUAUGGAUACAUGUUGAAAUGGCAAUAUUUUAGACACAUUAGGUUGAAUAGGACAUGUUACUAAAAUUAUUUUUGCCUGUUUCAUUUGACUGUUUAAGAUACGGUUACUAGGCAACUUCAAAUUGCAUCCGUGGCUUGCGUUUGUGGCCCUUCCAUUGCACAGAACGCUGUAGAAGGUGACGGGGGAAGACGAAAGAAGAGCUCUUUGGGAAUGGUGUUGACAGGUGUUUGGUGUGUACAGCCAGGGCGUUUUCAACAACAGAGAAACAAAUGCCUAAGACUAAGGGUUUAUAGGGCAGGGAGGAGAGACUCGAAGACACAACAGUUCUGAGCAAAGGGCCACGAGUCAUGGAGGAAAACCUUCAGGUUGGCUCAGGGUCCGAGGAGGACCUGUCGACCUGGGUCAGAUGUUGGACUAGUUGACUAGAUAGCACCUCCUCUGGGCCAGGUGUCUCCAGGGAGCAACUGAUGGGACGUCAGAGAGGGACAGUGAGGUGGCCACUGACUGACAGCGGAGAGGGUUACAGGCAGGGAGGAAAUUAUCUCAGGGGCUCUAUGAUAAUCACAAUGCCCAAGUAAACCUCCCCACAGCUGCUUCAGUUCGACUAUGGUCGCAGAUUGAGGCCUUGCAGUCUGCUCUGGACUCGGAUGGGGCCUCUCGCUGCGUCAAGGGAAAACCCCUUUGCAGAGGUUCCGGAGCCUGGAGGGCUCAAGCACAAGGCCCCGGGCUCUGGGGCUGGUUCCACACCUCAGAACCACAGCCGUAAGCCUGGGAGGGAAUUCUGAGCUCAGGCAGGAGAAGCUCCUCCUUUGAGAGUCAGGAAGAGUGAAGCCGAGAAGGCCACGGGGUUUUGAGCAGGAGGCAGAUGUAGGUGCUCUUAUGCUUUGGCCGAUGCCGCCCCUCCCCAUCGCUGGUCUCUGGGAGCAUCUGGUGGGUGGGUCUCGUACACCAGGCGGGGUGCCACUCUGAGUGGGGUCUGGGAGCUGUUCAGGGCCUGCCGUUGUUCCUCUCACGCCUCACCUGCUGGACCCGUCUUCCCCACUAUCCUUCCUCCAGCACCAGGGUCCUUAACACCUGCGGAGCCUCCCAAGUGGGAAAGAAAGCUCGUUCUUGUUUGUACUUAGUUUCAUGCUCAGUGUAUUAAACUUCAAAGUUGUUAAAACACAUUUAUUUGGAGGUGGUGGCGAUGGUGGCACACAAAUGUAAAUUCACUUAAUGCCACCGAACUGUAUGCCCAAAAAUAGUCAACAUGAUAAAUUUUAUGUGAUGUGUAUUUUACCACAACAAAAAAGCCGUUAAAGUGGGUUGAUUUUCUAAGCGACCUGUUUUCUCUACUACUAAAAAAUAUGAAUUUCAUAACUCAGUGAAAGUCUUUUAAGGAUUCCAUUAAGUCGCAAGUCUCUGUAGACUUUGAACACUUUAAAAGCACCCACAACCAUAGAAGUAAGAGCAGAAUGGGCUGUGCUUAUACAGGACCUGCUAUGUCGUUUGCGGGGCCCAGUAUAAAGUGAAAACCUGGAGCCUUUGUUCAGAAAGCCGGAAGAAUGUGCCACGACAGGGACUAAAACAGAAAGCGUUUUCCUUUCUUUUGAGUCUCUCUUGGUCUGCUGUAGUGUUUCUCAUUUGCUGUUUCAAGUAGUGCCGUCUCAAGGACAGGAUGUUCACGCUUGAGGGCUGACCGUCACAGGUGCUUGGGGCACUGCCCCGCAACUUGGUAUGUGUGUGCCCUGCAGGCUGUCAGCUGCUAAUCCACAUGCCAUGCCCCAGGUGGGUAAGUCGCAUCCCACGGGGCCACUGCAUUAACCCAGCUGUGCCAGCAGCCCCAAAGGAUUACAACCUCCAUGCCAGGACACACGAGGCACCUGGACUCAGGAGGAUGAGAGGCUCAUCUCGAUCGAGUUGCCUGCCAAGUGCACUGGAGCACUGUGAGCCAAGGGUGGGGACAGAUUCCGCCAUCCCCUACCCCAAGCACUGCCUGACUCCGACCCUCCCCACGACUGUGCCCAGGCCCCUGGGUGGGUGGUGGACAGCAGUGGUCACUGAAUGGGAACAGGGAGGGGAGUGCCAGGUGGGCCUGGGUCUCCAGGGCACAGGAAGUGGGCAGCUGAGAACAGCUGCCUCCAAUGAGGUCCACACCUGACAUGGAACAAGAAGCCUCCAGUGACUCAGAGGAGGAAAAUGAGGUCUCUCUCCCAAGAGGCUGCCAGGGCAUAGAUGUACACGUUCCCAGGAGCUUAGAAAGAACCCCAGGCCAGAGGGCAUGGGGCGCAGGGGAGACCCCCGGAGCUGUGGACCUGCUCACCAAUGAAUUUAAUAGCUGAAGUGAUGGAGAAGUCACUGGUUUGAGAUGAGAAUUCCAAGGGACUCUAUAAAGCUUUUUGCCAUCAGGCAAUCUGGGGACUCAAAGAAAGAAAAGUGAAUUAUUGAAAUCAAAGAGUUGCAAAACUGUAUGCCUGAAUGUUAUGGAUUCGAGUGACUAUGAAAUUUAAAUAAGCAACAUCAGUGAUGCUUCCCAAUCAAUCUGGGCUAAGUAAGUCAAAGAAAUCAUAAAAAUAAGAGACAAAAAGGCGACAGGCAAACGGCUAGGGAAAUCUGCUGAGCUGCCAGCGGGUGGAACCCACCCAGAUGCUGAGCACUGUGGCCUUGAGGGCUGCCCCAGGAGGGAACUGAGGAGGACAUGUCUCCCCUGGGUAGUCUGAGGUCAGCCUGGCAAUCACAGGAGGACACCGGCCUUAGCCACAGCCUUGUUCAUCAGGCCUGUCUAUUCCAGGACAUACGGCAGGGAGCUGCAUGGGGUGCUCAUGGCCAGCCACGUGGGGAGGGGUGUGCCCAUUCUGCAGCAUUUCUGAGGCAUAGUAGUAUCAUGGAAACUGAUUUAGCAGAGACUUAAUUCUGUUUUUUGUUUUUUUUUUUGACAGAGUCUUACUCUGUCGCCCAGGCUGAAGUAUGCAGGGGUGUGAUCUCAGCUCCUUGCAACCUUCACCUCCCAGUUUCAAGCAAUUUUCAUGUCUCAGCCUCCCCAGCAGCUGGGAUUACAGGCGCCCGCCACCACGCCCGGCUAAUUUUUGUAUUUUUAGUAGAGAUGGGGUUUCACCAUGUUGGCCAGGCUGGUCUUGAACUCCUGACCUCAGGUGAUCCACCCGCCUUGGCCUCCCAAAGUGCCGGGAUUACAGGCGUGAACCACUGUGCCCGGCCAGUAGAGACUUAAUUCUUAAAGUAUUACUGCAGAAAGAGCUCAUAUGAUGUGAGUUUCUUAGAAAGGACCAAAGUGCCAAGGACAGGAAGGAGAGAGGAGAAAACUUAACCCAAAACAUAUCCGAGCCCACAGACUGACGGUGCACUUCAACUUACUGUGCAAACAGCUCUGCAAAACAAAAUCCAAUAAAAUGAAUGAAUUCUCUGCUAUUCUGCAUAAACACUGUGCCUGGGAGACAUCUGUGCCAUCAUCUUUGUGGGCAAUUAUAAUACAUGUAAAAUUGUUUAUAGAAUUCUUUUCCUCUUUGAACAAAAUGUUCAAAAUAAGUGAAGAUAGGCACAAAGAACUAAGGCUAGGUAUGAAAACAUCCCCAUCCCCACCUGGAUCCAUUCCCGCCUCUCCCAAAGCCCUCUCGAUGUUUAUGGUGUUGUGUUUCUGUCCGCGCCGUUCCACAGCAAGAGCUGAGCUCUGAGACAAGAUGGCUUAUGAGUGGUGAGCAUCUAUUAUCCCUUUCCCCAUC